rnacentral:rRNA from 1 species
GACGAACGCUGGCGGCGUGCCUAAUACAUGCAAGUCGAACGCAGUGGGGACGGGUGAGUAACACGUGGGUAACCUCCCAUCAGAGGGGAUAACACUUGGAAACAGGUGCUAAACCGAUACUGAUGGAUGGACCCGCGGUGCAUUAGCUAGUGGGUGAGGUAACGGCUCACCAAGGCCACGAUGCAUAGCGGACCGGAGAGGGGGAUGGGCCACACUGGGACUGAGACACGGCCCAGACUCAUACGGGAGGGAGAGGUAGGGAAUCGUCGGCAAUGGACGAAAGUCUGACCGAGCAACGCCGCGUGAGUGAGAAAGGUGUUCGGAUCGUGAGACUCUGUUGUUAGAGAAGCGGUAUCUAACCAGAAAGCCACGGCUAACUACGUGCCAGCAGCCGCGGUAAUUC